AAGAGUGCAGUGAUGAAGUAAUUUUUUGUGGACUAGAGUUUUUGAUUUGGGUUUUUCCCAGUAGUUGAAGACUAACCCUUGGCUGUUUGGAUAUUUUU
rnacentral:snoRNA from 1 species